rnacentral:rRNA from 1 species
CGCUCUCAGAAAUUAUUAAGAGUAUUGUCUGCCCAGUGACUGAUUGGUUUAACGGCCGCGUAUUAGUGCUAAGGUAGCAUAAUAAUUUGCCUUUUCAUUGAAGGCUAGUAUGAAUGGCAUAACGAAGCUUAACUGUCUCUAACUAUAACAAAAAAAUUAGUCAAAAAGUGAAAAAACUUUUUUAUUAUUGAAGGACGAAAAGACCCUAUAGAGCUUUAAUAUAAUUAGUAAAUAAAGUUUAAAAAAUAAAACUAUAUUAACUUAUAUAUUUUUAUUGGGGCAAUAGAAAAAAAAUUUAAUACACAACUUUGUGAUAACAAACAAAAAAAACCUCAAAGAGAAUAAAUACAAGCUACCUUAGGGAUAACAGCGUAAUCUUACCAGAGAGACCUAAUCAAAGGAAAGGUUUACGACCUCGAUGUUGGACUAAGAAAACCCAAAGGUGCAGAAGCCUUUGAAAGCUGGCCUGUUCGGCCAUUAA